UGGCUUGACAUCCCACGAACCUGGUGAAAGCCAGGAGUGCCCGCAAGGGAGCGCAGAGACAGGUGGUGCAUGGCUGUCGUCAGCUCGUGUCGUGAGAUGUUGGGUUAAGUCCCGCAACGAGCGCAACCCUCACCCUUUGUUGCCAUCAGGUUAUGCUGGGCACUCUGCGGAGACUGCCGGUGACAAACCGGAGGAAGGUGGGGAUGACGUCAAGUCAGCAUGGCCUUUAUGUCCGGGGCUACACACGUGCUACAAUGGCCGGUACAAACCGUCGCGAUCCCGCAAGGGGGAGCUAAUCGGAGAAAGCCGGUCUCAGUUCGGAUCGCAGGCUGCAACUCGCCUGCGUGAAGUCGGAAUCGCUAGUAAUCGUGGAUCAGCAUGCCACGGUGAAUACGUUCCCGGGCCUUGUACACACCGCCCGUCACACCACGAAAGUCUGCUGUACUCGAAGUCGCUGAGAAUCUC
rnacentral:rRNA from 1 species